AGAGCAGGAGAGAGAUUGCAUUUCAUCAAAGACGGCAUAUAAUUACAUCAGAGUGUGACAGUCUCGGAGAAAUACGCCAUCACCUGGGAAUUCUGGGGACCUGUGCUCAGAGCCAGCGCAGCAUCUGAUACUUAAGCUUGAGUGUCACACGGUGCCACUUUAUCGGGCAAAAACCAAGGAGAAAACCAAGGAGGAAAUGCACCGGUGUGUAUUGGAAAGCGUUUUGCUUUUGCUCGACCUCAAUCACCGCGGAGCGCAGGGUCAGCUGGAGAACAGCGACAGUGAUGCUGUACCUCCAGUCUGCGGGGACAGUGAGAGCUCUUCCUCCUAGUGGACUUCUGGACCUUCACCAUGUCGCCAAGACUGGCCUGCUGCACCACACGUUCACUAACGGCACACCUCCUGUAACCUGCAACAACACCCCACAUG